UUUUACUGUGAAAAAAUUAGAGUGCUCCAGGCAGGCCUAUGCUCGAAUACAUUAGCAUGGAAUAAUAGAAUAGGACGUGUGGUUUUAUUUUGUUGGUUUCUAGGACCGCCGUAAUGAUUAAUAGGGACAGUCGGGGGCAUCAGUAUUCAGUUGUCAGAGGUGAAAUUCUUGGAUCUAAUGAAGACUAAAUACUGGGAAAGCAUUUGCCAAGGAUGUUUUCAUUGAUAAGGAACGAAAGUUAGGGGAUUGAAGACGAUCAGAUACCGUCGUAGUCUUAAAUAUAAACUAUGCCG
rnacentral:rRNA from 1 species